CUGUCUCCUGGGUCCGCCCCUGCGUCCCUCCAUCAGUGGGGUUGGUCCAGAUUAUUCUGUGUCUUGGUACCCCAGUUAGUUCUAUCCUGCGGAUCAAGUGACUGCUACUGUACUAUUUUGUUACAGGAAGUUACACCAGGGUUCCCAUGUAUUAGUGUAUGUUUGGUAAUUUUUGGAGAGGGAGAAGCAAACCUCUUCCAUUGUCCUGAUACCCUCUACUUUUUGUAUCCAUUCCCUAAUGGUUGGUGGAUUGGCUUUUUUCCAUUGUAUCAGGAUAGUUUGAGUCGCUGCAGUGAGCAUGUGUCUGAUGAGCAUUGUGAUAGUUCUCGGUAGUGGGGAGGGGAGUAAGUGGAAUAUGAAGGUUUCGG